AAUGAACGCUGGCGGCAGGCCUAACACAUGCAAGUCGAGCGAGCAUUUCGGUGCUAGCGGCGGACGGGUGAGUAACGCGUGGGAACGUGCCCUUUUCUGCGGAAUAGUCCUGGGAAACUGGGGGUAAUACCGCAUACGCCCUUUUGGGGAAAGAUUUAUCGGAGAAGGAUCGGCCCGCGUUGGAUUAGGUAGUUGGUGGGGUAAUGGCCCACCAAGCCGACGAUCCAUAGCUGGUUUGAGAGGAUGAUCAGCCACACUGGGACUGAGACACGGCCCAGACUCCUACGGGAGGCAGCAGUGGGAAAUCUUAGACAAUGGGGGCAACCCUGAUCUAGCCAUGCCGCGUGAGUGAUGAAGGCCUUAGGGUUGUAAAGCUCUUUCAGCUGGGAAGAUAAUGACGGUACCAGCAGAAGAAGCCCCGGCUAACUCCGUG
rnacentral:rRNA from 1 species